CGGAUUCCUGUUGGUGGUUUCCUGUUUGGUGACUGUGUGUGUGAACCUCGCUCCGAUUGAUUGCGUGUAUCGCCGGAUUCCUGACCGUUGGAUUCCUGUUUGGUGAUACACUGUGGAUUUUGGUGGCUGUGCAAAGCGAGACUUGAGUGCCGAUUAGUUCUCCAUGUUUCCCUGAGCCUUGAUCAUUGAGCUGCCGGAAGAAGCCGAGUCUACCGUGGGAAAAUCUGAGCCAAAGUGUCCCGAGGACACAUUUUCCC
rnacentral:lncRNA from 1 species